GAUGGGGGAGGUGGACAGGGGAAAAUGGGGGAGGUGGACAGGGUUAGGGGAAGAUGGGGAAGGUGGACAGGGGAAGAUGGAGGAGGUGGACAGGGUCUGGGGAAGAUGGGGGAGGUGGACAGGGUUAGGGGAAGAUGGGGAAGUUGGACAGGGGAAGAUGGAGGAGGUGGACAGGGUGAGGGGAAGAUGGGGAAGGUGGACAGGGUUAGGGGAAGAUGGGGGAGGUGGACAGGGUUAGGGGAAGAUGGGGGAGGUGGACCGGGUUAAGAAAAUAUGGGUGAGGUGGACAGGGUUAGGGGAAGAUGGAGGGAGGUGGACAGGGGAAGAUGGGGGAGGUGGACAGGGGAAGAUGGAGGAGGUGGACAGGGUUAGGGGAAGAUGGGGAAGGUGGACAGGGGAAGAUGGAGGAGGUGGACAGGGUUAGGGGAAGAUGGGGAAGGUGGACAGGGGAAGAUGGA
ensembl:lncRNA